rnacentral:rRNA from 1 species
CUACGGGUCGCACCAGUGGGGAAUAUUGCACAAUGGGCGCAAGCCUGAUGCAGCCAUGCCGCGUGUAUGAAGAAGGCCUUCGGGUUGUAAAGUACUUUCAGCGGGGAGGAAGGGAGUAAAGUUAAUACCUUUGCUCAUUGACGUUACCCGCAGAAGAAGCACCGGCUAACUCCGUGCCAGCAGCCGCGGUAAUACGGAGGGUGCAAGCGUUAAUCGGAAUUACUGGGCGUAAAGCGCACGCAGGCGGUUUGGUAAGUCAGAUGUGAAAUCCCCGGGCUCAACCUGGGAACUGCAUCUGAUACUGGCAAGCUUGAGUCUCGUAGAGGGGGGUAGAAUUCCAGGUGUAGCGGUGAUAUGCGUAGAGAUCUGGAGGAAUACCGGUGGCGAAGGCGGCCCCCUGGACGAAGACUGACGCUCAGGUGCGAAAGCGUGGGGAGCAAACAGGAUUAGAUACCCCGGUAGUC